rnacentral:lncRNA from 1 species
AAAUGUUCUAGGCUACUUACUUAGUUAUUGUUACUCCAAGAUCACUUCUAAGAUCACAAAAGAAAACUCAAAAGUCAAGAAAACAACUAAGACUCUAAGGUCGGACUCUAAGUUUCCUAAACGAAAAUUUACAAGCUUAAAAGGAAUGAAGAAAUGAAAUGUAAAGGUGAGGUCUCCUAGGUGAGGCUUAGACUUUGGAUCUAAGACACACUCACCGUCUACCAAUUUUAGGUGAAGAGACUUUAAGUCAAGUUAGCAAAUGAGGGAAGAACACUUAGGAGCUCUUCCACUUCACUUGCUUGAAAUGGCCCUUUUUACAAAUCAAAGAAAAACAAAUGAACUAUUACAACUUGUGAUUCAAUCAAAAAGGAAAGGAUAAGGAAAGUGCAACUUUGGCCUCUCUCAAUGGAAGCUGCGUGAAAAUUGAUGCAGCACAAGUCUCACAGUUGCUAUCAAUUGAAAUUGUGAAUUCUGGAUGCAGAAUCGGUUCUGUCUUACACAUAUACAGCAACUGUUGCAGCAAUUAUGCAGUCACGGGAUGGACUUUUGCAGCACCAAGAGCCCAACUUCUUUGUGAUUUCCGCCACUUAUCCACUCCCUAAUAUGCUACCAAUGGUUUAGGAGCUCAGCUAGAUCAAUGCUCCUAUGAUAGCACUUCAACCAAAUCACAAAUCAUUCUAGAGAUUAGUGCACAAAAUGUUGUUGCUGCCAGAAAAAUGUGCACAACCAAAAUGGUUUAGGAGCUCAGCUAGAUCAAUGCUCCUAUGAUAACACCUUUUAUCAAACAGGUGGUAGACAAGAAUUCCAACAAUCAAAUUAAAGCAAUAAAAAGGGACAGAAACACGGGUACACAACCAAAAUGGAACCUAGGAAUGGUGCUAGAGCAGAUUUAAAAGCAAUAAAACAGACUCAAGUAAUAAGUGAAGUGUAGUCAAUGAUAAUAUGCCAUCAGCACCAUCUGUUUGUGAAAAGGUCUCAAUGAUAGUCCAACUAAUGCUAAUUUUUUUUUUAUUUCACGGGAUGCAGAUUUCAACUAAUAUGUUGCACGGAUUCAAUGAGCUUUUUCACUGUCAAUUCAAUUCUUUUGAAUGUUAUGUUUCUUUUAUAUUGAAUCCAGCUUUUGCUACAACAUUUACAUAAAAUUCAAUGCAACAAUUCAAGCUUCAAUUAUCAUAAUUCUGCAGCACUUAAUUGGACUGAAACAGAGGUUCAAAAGUGGCUGGAUUGACUAGCGAAAAUGCACAAUUCCAAUUACAAUCAUUUUAACUUUGCACCAACAAGUUUAAUUGAUGAUUUUAAACUUGUUUGACAGAGAAUUUUGAACAGAUUCAAUGUCUAUCAGAUUAUGACAUGUUCAGUUCCUUUGUGCACUUUCAACCAUUCAACUCUAAUAGCCAACUUUUGAAACAACAAACUAAAUUGACUUCUUGCAUCAGAAUAUGUCUUAACACAAUAUUGGAAAGUUGCUCAAAUAGCAGAAUAACAAUUUUAUAUGGUUGGCAAUGAACUAGAUACUCAACCAGAUUUAACACACAAACACGGCUUUAGCAAAGAAAAUUGUGCAGUUCGGCCUACUGCCAAAUGAAAUGCCAUUUGAACUUUCCAGUUAUACUACCAAUAGCAAAAGCAAUUUCAGGUUUUAUAGUAUUCACUCUGGACUUCGUUCAACAGAGGCUUAUACACAAUCAUCAAUAGUGUUUUUAACCAAAAACAGCCAAUAAACAAUGAAAUUCAGAAAAAUAUGCAGUAUCAAACCAUUGCAGUUUACGUUUUCUUUUCUGUUCAGAUCUGAUUGCCACAUUGCCACCAAGCUCAUUCACUUGAACUUCAUUGCUCUUUAAUGAUUAACAACAUGUAUUUGCAAUUCAGAAUCAAUUGAUGCAGACACAACUCACAGUUGACACAGAAUUGAAGACAAACAAAAAAUCAAUGCAUACAAUGCACAAGACUUGACAGAUCUGGAUGGAUUACAAAAUAAAAGACUCAAAACAGAAUUGACCGAAUAAAAUGAUGAGAAGAAAAGCAAAUAAGCUAGUAUGAAAGAAAUGACACACACAAAACCUAAGAAUGAACAGCAAAUGAAUGGAACAGUACCACACAAUGAAGCAGAGAAAAGAAAACUGUGACAGUGUAAAAUGGAGGAAAAAUUGACUUAUCUCAUGGUAGCAGUAGCUGGAACUCAAUGUGGCUCUGAAUACCACUUGAUAGCUCCUUCCUUGAGCUAUGGUUCAGAUCCGUGAGAUGCAGCAAGCAAAGAAGGCAGCAUCAGCGGUAAUGGAAUGCUUGGAUAAUGAAUANUGAUAGCUCCUUCCUUGAGCUAUGGUUCAGAUCCGUGAGAUGCAGCAAGCAAAGAAGGCAGCAUCAGCGGUAAUGGAAUGCUUGGAUAAUGAAUAGGCAGCAGAAGACAUUAUGAUGGAUUCUAUGAAGUGGAGGAAGUGCUUUAGUGUAAUGAAUCUAGCUCAGACAACUCUCACCUCUGGAAGGAAGCUUGAGGAUUGAAUGGAGGAAGCACAAGAAGAAGUGACUCUCGGUGAUGAAAGGGCUGGAAGCAAUGUGCUUAGCAUUUCAAUUCUGUCAAUAUUCCCAAAAGUAUCAUACAGAAGUUGCCUUGGGGUUUUUAUAAGAAUUCCCUUCGGCCUUGGCAAGGAAAAUACUAGUACUAGAUCCGUGAAAUGUGGAUCUGCUGCCACGUAGGCAGCCAUGUGCAACAUGUGCUAGCCUUCUAGAAGGCUUUAUUUAGCAUGUGGAAAAUGUUUUCUAACCAAGUAGCAUGUGUUACAUGUGUGACAGCUGGAAAAAGAAAUGUGUCGUACCAUACAUGUAAGGAAAAUGAAGUGUGUUAACCCUUUCCUUCCUUGGACCAUCUUGGCUCUUGAUCUUGCUCUCUUGGCUUCCAUUCAAAACAUCCAUUCAAAACAUGUAAAGAAUAUCUGACCUUCUGGUGUUGGCUCUUGAAGUUCUUGUUGUAAUUUCCGGGCCAUCUAUCUUUAUAGGACCUGGAUGCAGGCUGCUAGGACCCCGUGUAUCACGAAGAGAUGCUGGAAACGAAACCCUCACGUCAUGGGAACACCUAACUUGAAACUCACCCCUUCUUUCCUGCAAACCAAGCCAGACCAAAGAAAGGGAAGAAGGAAACAACACUCCCCUACUACGAAAACAACAAGAACCAGAAAGAGAAGAAAGGUUCCUUGCAGGUUGAAUCAACAUACAAAAUAAGGAAAAGGAACACAUCCCCUCUCUUCUAAAACGAACUCAAACCAGCACAAAGGUUUAU